CCUACGGGAGGCAGCAGUGGGGAAUAUUGGACAAUGGGCGAAAGCCUGAUGCAACAAUGCCGCGUGAGCGAUGAAGGCCGUCGGGCCGUAAAGCUCUGUCCUCAAGGAAGCUAAUGCCGGUACUUGAGGAGGACGCCCCGGCUAACUACGUGCCAGCAGCCGGGGUCAUACGUAGGGGGCUAGCGUUAUCGGGAAUUACUGGGCGUAAAGGGUGCGUAGGUGGUUUCUUAAGUGAGAGGUGAUAGGCUACGGGUCAACCGUAGUAAGCCUUUGAAACUGGGAAACUUGAGUGCAGGAGAGGAGGGAGGAAUUCCUGGUGUAGCGGUGAAAUGCGUAGAUAUUAGGAAGAACACCAGUUGCGAAGGCGUCUCUCUGGUCUGUAACUGACGCUGAGGCACGAAAGCGUGGGGAGCAAACAGGAUUAGAUACUCGGGUAGUC
rnacentral:rRNA from 1 species